rnacentral:rRNA from 1 species
CCUACGGGAGGCAGCAGUCGAGAAUUUUUGACAAUGGGGGAAACCCUGAUCGAGCGACGCCGCGUGGAGGAUGAAGGUCUUCGGAUUGUAAACUCCUGUCAUUGGGGAACAAUGCGCUUUCGUUAACUGCGUGAGCGUUGAUAGUACCCGAAGAGGAAGAGACGGCUAACUCUGUGCCAGCAGCCGCGGUAAU